rnacentral:rRNA from 1 species
UAACCUACGGGCGGCAGCAGUGGGGAAUAUUGCACAAUGGGGGAAACCCUGAUGCAGCAACGCCGCGUGAAGGAAGACGGUUUUCGGAUUGUAAACUUCUGUUCUUAGUGAAGAAGAAUGACGGUAGCUAAGGAGCAAGCCACGGCUAACCACGUGCCAGCAGCCGCGGUAAUACGUAGGUGGCAAGCGUUGUCCGGAAUUACUGGGCGUAAAGGGAGCGCAGGCGGGCAGCCAAGUCAGCUGUGAAAACUAUGGGCUUAACUUGUAGACUGCAGGUGCAACUGGUUUUGUUGAGUGAAGUAGAG